GACGAACGCUGGCGGCGCGCCUAACACAUGCAAGUCGAACGGAGUCAAGAGGAGCUUGCUUUUCUUGACUUAGUGGCGAACGGGUGAGUAACGCGUGAGUAACCUGCCCUGGAGUGGGGGACAACAGUUGGAAACGACUGCUAAUACCGCAUAAGCCCACGGAUCUGCAUGGAUCUGCGGGAAAAGGAUUUAUUCGCUCUAGGAUGGACUCGCGUCAAAUUAGCUAGUUGGUGAGGUAACGGCCCACCAAGGCGACGAUUGGUAGCCGGACUGAGAGGUUGAACGGCCACAUUGGGACUGAGACACGGCCCAGACUCCUACGGGAGGCAGCAGUGGGGGAUAUUGCACAAUGGGGGAAACCCUGAUGCAGCGACGCCGCGUGGAGGAAGAAGGUUUUCGGAUUGUAAACUCCUGUCGUUAGGGACGAUAAUGACGGUACCUAACAAGAAAGCACCGGCUAACUACGUG
rnacentral:rRNA from 1 species